UGGGCCUGCUACUCUGAUGAAAUGUGCUCC
rnacentral:piRNA from 1 species